UCAACAGUCACAUUAGCUACAGCCGCAAUAGCUGAUAAAGCCGUCGCUGCCAAAAACACAGUAGCUUCCAAGCUCGGAUAUGGUGCCGACACCGAAACAACUCAAACAAACACAAGCAGCGAAAGACCAUCAACAAUCUCUUCAGCAACCUCUGCAAUAGCUGAUAAAGCUGUCACUGCCAAGAAUACUGUUGCUUCAAAGCUUGGAUAUGGUCCUGAAACAACACACCAAGAAGAAAAGCAAUCGGCAAUCUCUUCGGCAACCUCUGCAAUAGCUGACAAAGCUGUCACUGCCAAAAACACCGUAGCUUCAAAGCUCGGAUAUGGUCCUAAAACAACUCAUCGGGAAGAGGAAAAACCAUCGACAAUUUCUGCGGCAACCUCUGCAAUAGCUGAUAAAGCUGUCAAUGCCAAAAACACCGUAGCUUCAAAGCUCGGAUAUGGUCCUGAAACAACUCGUCGGGAAGAAGAAAAACAGUCAACAAUCUCUGCGGCAACCUCUGCAAUAGCUGAUAAAGCUGUCACUGCCAAAAACACCGUAGCUUCAAAGCUCGGAUAUGGUCCUGAAACGACUCAACGGGAAGAACAAAAACCAUCCGCAAUCUCUUCAGCAACCUCGGCCAUAGCUGACACAGCUGUCUCAGCCAAAAACACCGUUGCCUCCAAGCUCGGGUAUGGUGCUGACACUGAAACAGUUCAAGCAAAGCAUCACGAAGAAAAACCAUCAACAGUCUCUGCAGCCACCUCUGCGAUAGCUAAUAAAGCUGCCUCAGCCAAGAACACAGUAGCUUCAAAGCUCGGAUACGGUGCCAACACAGAAACAACACAAACAAAGAACUACCAAGAAAAUACAAGCAAUGAACAGCCAUCAACAAUUUCUUUAGCAACCUCAGCAGUAGCUGAUAAAGCUAUCUCAGCCAAAAACACCGUAGCUUCCAAGCUGGGUUUCGGUGACACAACAACAGCACAU
rnacentral:lncRNA from 1 species